ensembl:lncRNA
GUUGAACCUUCCCACCAAUAUUCUGUUCCAUGUUGUUGCUGUGUGACAGAUGGCAGCAGAGGGGCAGUCUGACAACAUGGUGUCUGACAUGGAAGUGCAUAUGAAGAAAAGGUCUCAACUGCUUUUUGUAUCCUGGGAAAUGAGAGCAAUUCUUUCUAUCAUAUUCAGAAAGAAAAUGAAAAGCACAGGAGGAAGAAGCCCUCUCCUGCCCUACGUCCCCCAUGGCUCAGCACUGCCCACCCAAGGCUGGAAGAAGUUGGUCAUACGGAGUUCCCUUGGCGCCUUCUGCCCUCUUAAGGUCUUCAAUGCCUGCUAAGAUACUCAGCAAUGGAAAUGAUGCUGAUGCUCCUCUCCUGCCAAAAGAUAAUCCCCUCCACGUUCACAUUUAGAGUACACUGAGGCAGCUCUGGUGCUCCUCUAACCACACCAACAUUUUUUUCA